rnacentral:tRNA from 1 species
AAAUAUGAAGCAAUAUUAUGCAUUUAAUUUCGACUUAAAAGAAAGAGUUUCUACUCCAUAUUUU